UAUCUUCAGGGCGGGGUGCAAUUCCCCACCGGCGGUAAAGUCCGCGAGCGCUAUGCGCAGAACCGGUGUGAUUCCGGUACCGACAGUACAGUCUGGAUGGAAGAAGAUA
rnacentral:ncRNA from 1 species